UAAGUCCCAUGGACUCAACAUCAACGACCACACCUUUGUUAUCCAGGAUUGCUCGACCACAAUUUUUGGCAAUAUUCAUGGCCAGAGUCUAAAUUUAUUAGUUCAUGAAUUCAAAUUGUAAAACAGUAUCUAGAAAGUAAUGAGAUAAUGACUAUCGCUUUGUGGUUCUUCAAAAAGCAAAAACGAGGUAUUACCGCUAACUUACUGGUGAGGAAGUGCGUGUUGCAUUUGCAGCUGGCCUAGUUAUACAAAAAAGUUCAUACAUAACCAUUAUAUUGCUAUACUUUUCAAACUAUCAAGAGUGCUUGUUAUCGUGUGACCUUUUUACUAGCGUCUGUAAGUGAGAGGUUUGGCGGUACGCUAGGAAAAGAAGAGGUUUGAGUUAAGCACUAAAAACUUCUGUUUCGUAAAUUACAGUCUAAAAAGAAAAGAAUAUA